GUAGCAGUAGCUCAGUGGUAAAGCACAUAUGUGUAUGAGGUCCUGGGUUCAAUCCCCAGCAGCAAAA
rnacentral:tRNA from 1 species